UACGUAGGGCGCAAGCGUUGUCCGGAAUUAUUGGGCGUAAAGAGCUCGUAGGUGGCUUGUCGCGUCUGCCGUGAAAGCCCAUGGCUUAACUGUGGGUCUGCGGUGGAUACGGGCUGGCUAGAGGUAGGUAGGGGCAAGCGGAAUUCCUGGUGUAGCGGUGAAGUGCGCAGAUAUCAGGAGGAACACCGGUGGCGAAGGCGGCUUGCUGGGCCUUACCUGACGCUGAGGAGCGAAAGCGUGGGGAGCGAACAGG
rnacentral:rRNA from 1 species